rnacentral:rRNA from 1 species
ACAGGGAUUGCCCUAGUAACGGCGAGUGAAGCGGCAACAGCUCAAAUUUGAAAUCUGAUCUCUUCGAGGUCCGAGUUGUAAUUUGUAGAGGGUGCUUUGGUGUUGGCUGCGGUCUAAGUUCCUUGGAACAGGACGUCAUAGAGGGUGAGAAUCCCGUCUGUGGUCGCAUGUCUUCACCGUGUAAAGCCCCUUCGACGAGUCGAGUUGUUUGGGAAUGCAGCUCUAAAUGGGAGGUAAAUUUCUUCUAAAGCUAAAUACUGGCCAGAGACCGAUAGCGCACAAGUAGAGUGAUCGAAAGAUGAAAAGCACUUUGGAAAGAGAGUCAAACAGCACGUGAAAUUGUUGAAAGGGAAGCGCUUGCAGCCAGACUUGCUUGCAGUUGCUCAUCCGGGCGUUCGCCCGGUGCACUCUUCUGUAGGCAGGCCAGCAUCAGUUUGGGCGGUUGGAUAAAGGCCUCUGUCAUGGAUCUUCUCCGGAAGACCUUAUAGGGGAGGCGUAAUGCAACCAGCCUGGACUGAGGUCCGCGCAUCUGCUAGGAUGCUGGCGUAAUGGCUGUAAGCGGCCCGUCUUGAAACACGGACCAAGGAGUCUAACAUCUAUGCGAGUGUUUGGGUGUCAAGCCCGAGCGCGUAAUGAAAGUGAACGGAGGUGGGAACCCUUGGGUGCACCAUCGACCGAUCCUGAUGUCUUCGGAUGGAUUUGAGUAAGAGCAUAGCUGUUGGGACCCGAAAGAUGGUGAACUAUGCUUGAAUAGGGUGAAGCCAGAGGAAACUCUGGUGGAGGCUCGCAGCGGUUCUGACGUGCAAAUCGAUCGUCAAAUUUGGGCAUAGGGGCGAAAGACUAAUCGAACUAUCUAGUAGCUGG